AUUGAACGCUGGCGGCACGCCUUACACAUGCAAGUCGAACGGCAGCACGGGUGCUUGCACCUGGUGGCGAGUGGCGAACGGGUGAGUAAUACAUCGGAACGUACCUUAUCGUGGGGGAUAACGCAGCGAAAGCUGUGCUAAUACCGCAUACGCCCUGAGGGGGAAAGCGGGGGAUCGAAAGACCUCGCGCGAUUAGAGCGGCCGAUGCCUGAUUAGCUUGUUGGUGGGGUAAAAGCCCACCAAGGCGACGAUCAGUAGCUGGUCUGAGAGGACGAUCAGCCACACUGGGACUGAGACAUGGCCCAGACUCCUACGGGAGGCAGCAGUGGGGAAUUUUGGACAAUGGGGGCAACCCUGAUCCAGCAAUGCCGCGUGAGUGAAGAAGGCCUUCGGGUUGUAAAGCUCUUUUGUCAGGGAAGAAACACCGGCUCUAACACAGUCCGGGAAUGACGGUACCUGAAGAAUAAGCACCGGCUAACUACGUGCCAGCCGCCGCGGUAA
rnacentral:rRNA from 1 species